rnacentral:rRNA from 1 species
UACAGAGGGGGCAAGCGUUGUUCGGAAUUACUGGGCGUAAAGGGCGCGUAGGUGGUAAAGCAAGUAAGAUGUGAAAGCCCUGGGCUUAACCUGGGAAGUGCAUCUUAAACUGCUUAACUAGAGUAUGGUAGAGGGUAGUGGAAUUUCCGGUGUAGCGGUGAAAUGCGUAGAGAGUCGGAAGGAACGCCAGUGGUGAAGACGACUCCUGGACCAAUACUGACACUGAGGCGCGAAAGCGUGGGGAUCAAACAGG